rnacentral:tRNA from 2 species
GGACGUGUACGGAUCAUGUUCGAUCUAACGCAGACAAACCUGCAAAGCGAGUUACGCCGGUUCGAUUCCGGUCACGGCUUCCA